GAUGAACGCUGACAGAAUGCUUAACACAUGCAAGUCUUUGGCGAAGCUGUGCUUGCACAGCCUAGCCAAGGCGGACGGGUGAGUAACGCGUAAGGAACUUGCCCUGCAGUCAGGGAUAACAGACGGAAACGACUGAGAAGACCUGGGAAAGGCAGGCGGACUCGUGCCCAGCCGGAUGGAAAGAGAUGCUGCAGGAGAGCCUUGCGUCCUAUUAUCUUGUUGGUGGGGUAACGGCCCACCAAGGCGAUGAUAGGUAGCCGGCCUGAGAGGGUGGACGGCCACUAGGGGACUGAGAUACGGCCCUUACUCCUACGGGAGGCAGCAGUGGGGAAUAGUGGACAAGGGGGGCAACCCUGAUCCAGCAAUUCUGUGUGCACGAUGAAGGUUUUCGGAUUGUAAAGUGCUUUCAGCAGGGAAGAAAAAAAUGACGGUACCUGCAGAAGAAGCGACGGCUAAAUACGUG
rnacentral:rRNA from 1 species